AAAUUGAAGAGUUUGAUCAUGGCUCAGAUUGAACGCUGGCGGCAGGCCUAACACAUGCAAGUCGAACGGUAACAGGAAGCAGCUUGCUGCUUUGCUGACGAGUGGCGGACGGGUGAGUAAUGUCUGGGAAACUGCCUGAUGGAGGGGGAUAACUACUGGAAACGGUGGCUAAUACCGCAUAACGUCGCAAGACCAAAGAGGGGGACCUUCGGGCCUCUUGCCAUCAGAUGUGCCCAGAUGGGAUUAGCUUGUUGGUGAGGUAACGGCUCACCAAGGCGACGAUCCCUAGCUGGUCUGAGAGGAUGACCAGCCACACUGGAACUGAGACACGGUCCAGACUCCUACGGGAGGCAGCAGUGGGGAAUAUUGCACAAUGGGCGCAAGCCUGAUGCAGCCAUGCCGCGUGUAUGAAGAAGGCCUUCGGGUUGUAAAGUACUUUCAGCGGGGAGGAAGGUGUUGUGGUUAAUAACCGCAGCAAUUGACGUUACCCGCAGAAGAAGCACCGGCUAACUCCGUGCCAGCAGCCGCGGUAAUACGGAGGGUGCAAGCGUUAAUCGGAAUUACUGGGCGUAAAGCGCACGCAGGCGGUCUGUCAAGUCGGAUGUGAAAUCCCCGGGCUCAACCUGGGAACUGCAUUCGAAACUGGCAGGCUUGAGUCUUGUAGAGGGGGGUAGAAUUCCAGGUGUAGCGGUGAAAUGCGUAGAGAUCUGGAGGAAUACCGGUGGCGAAGGCGGCCCCCUGGACAAAGACUGACGCUCAGGUGCGAAAGCGUGGGGAGCAAACAGGAUUAGAUACCCUGGUAGUCCACGCCGUAAACGAUGUCUACUUGGAGGUUGUGCCCUUGAGGCGUGGCUUCCGGAGCUAACGCGUUAAGUAGACCGCCUGGGGAGUACGGCCGCAAGGUUAAAACUCAAAUGAAUUGACGGGGGCCCGCACAAGCGGUGGAGCAUGUGGUUUAAUUCGAUGCAACGCGAAGAACCUUACCUGGUCUUGACAUCCACGGAAGAAUUCAGAGAUGGAUUUGUGCCUUCGGGAACCGUGAGACAGGUGCUGCAUGGCUGUCGUCAGCUCGUGUUGUGAAAUGUUGGGUUAAGUCCCGCAACGAGCGCAACCCUUAUCCUUUGUUGCCAGCGAUUAGGUCGGGAACUCAAAGGAGACUGUCAGUGAUAAACUGGAGGAAGGUGGGGAUGACGUCAAGUCAUCAUGGCCCUUACGACCAGGGCUACACACGUGCUACAAUGGCGCAUACAAAGAGAAGCGACCUCGCGAGAGCAAGCGGACCUCAUAAAGUGCGUCGUAGUCCGGAUUGGAGUCUGCAACUCGACUCCAUGAAGUCGGAAUCGCUAGUAAUCGUGGAUCAGAAUGCCACGGUGAAUACGUUCCCGGGCCUUGUACACACCGCCCGUCACACCAUGGGAGUGGGUUGCAAAAGAAGUAGGUAGCUUAACCUUCGGGAGGGCGCUUACCACUUUGUGAUUCAUGACUGGGGUGAAGUCGUAACAAGGUAACCGUAGGGGAACCUGCGGUUGGAUCACCUCCUUACCUUAAAGAA
rnacentral:rRNA from 1 species